rnacentral:miRNA from 1 species
GAGAUAGAAAUAAGAACU